UACGGAGGGUGCGAGCGUUGUCCGGAAUCAUUGGGCGUAAAGGGCGCGUAGGCGGCCAUUCAAGUCGGAGGUGAAAGCCCAGGGCUCAACCCUGGAAUUGCCUUCGAUACUGUUUGGCUCGAGACCGGAAGAGGUAAGUGGAACUGCGAGUGUAGAGGUGAAAUUCGUAGAUAUUCGCAAGAACACCAGUGGCGAAGGCGGCUCACUGGCCCGGAACUGACGCUGAGGUGCGAAAGCGUGGGGGAGCAAACAGG
rnacentral:rRNA from 1 species